rnacentral:tRNA from 1 species
GAGGGUAUGGCUCAGUGGUAAAGUACUGCGCCCAGCAUGCAUAAGGUCCUGGGUUCAAUUCCCAGUACGUCCA